UAGGGAAUCUUCGGCAAUGGGGGUAACCCUGACCGAGCAACCNCGCGUGAGUGAAGAAGGUUUUCGGAUCGUAAAGCUCUGUUGUAAGUCAAGAACGAGUGUGAGAGUGGAAAGUUCACACUGUGACGGUAGCUUACCAGAAAGGGACGGCUAACUACGUGCCAGCAGCCGCGGUAAUACGUAGGUCCCGAGCGUUGUCCGGAUUUAUUGGGCGUAAAGCGAGCGCAGGCGGUUUGAUAAGUCUGAAGUUAAAGGCUGUGGCUCAACCAUAGUUCGCUUUGGAAACUGUCAAACUUGAGUGCAGAAGGNGAGAGUGGAAUUCCAUGUGUAGCGGUGAAAUGCGUAGAUAUAUGGAGGAACACCGGUGGCGAAAGCGGCUCUCUGGUCUGUAACUGACGCUGAGGCUCGAAAGCGUGGGGAGCGAACAGGAUUAGAUACCCUGGUAGUCCACGCCGUAAACGAUGAGUGCUAGGUGUUGGAUCCUUUCCGGGAUUCAGUGCCGCAGCUAACGCAUUAAGCACUCCGCCUGGGGAGUACGACCGCAAGNU
rnacentral:rRNA from 1 species